GAGUUUGAUCUUGGCUCAGAUUGAACGCUGGCGGCAGGCCUAACACAUGCAAGUCGAGCGGAUGACGGGAGCUUGCUCCUUGAUUCAGCGGCGGACGGGUGAGUAAUGCCUAGGAAUCUGCCUGGUAGUGGGGGACAACGUUUCGAAAGGAACGCUAAUACCGCAUACGUCCUACGGGAGAAAGCAGGGGACCUUCAGGCCUUGCGCUAUCAGAUGAGCCUAGGUCGGAUUAGCUAGUUGGUGGGGUAAUGGCUCACCAAGGCGACGAUCCGUAACUGGUCUGAGAGGAUGAUCAGUCACACUGGAACUGAGACACGGUCCAGACUCCUACGGGAGGCAGCAGUGGGGAAUAUUGGACAAUGGGCGAAAGCCUGAUCCAGCCAUGCCGCGUGUGUGAAGAAGGUCUUCGGAUUGUAAAGCACUUUAAGUUGGGAGGAAGGGCAGUAAGUUAAUACCUUGCUGUUUUGACGUUACCGACAGAAUAAGCACCGGCUAACUCUGUGCCAGCCGCCG
rnacentral:rRNA from 1 species